AGAGUUUGAUCAUGGCUCAGAACGAACGCUGGCGGCGUGGCUAAAACAUGCAAGUCGAACGCGAAAGUUUCCUUCGGGAGACGAGUAAAGUGGCGAAAGGGCGAGGAAUAUGUGGGUAACGUACCCCGAGCACCGGGAUAGCUGUGGGAAACUACAGGUAAUACCGGAUGAGACCACAGUACCUUCGGGUACAGCGGUCAAAGGAUGGGGAUCUCUUCGGAGACCUAUCGGCUUGGGAGCGGCCCAUAUCCUAUCAGCUUGUUGGUAAGGUAAUGGCUUACCAAGGCAAUGACGGGUACCGGGACUGAGAGGUUGAUCCGGCGCAUUGGGACUGAGACACUGCCCAGACUCCUACGGGAGGCUGCAGUAACGAAUAUUGGACAAUGGGCGCAAGCCUGAUCCAGCGACGCCGCGUGUAGGAAGAAGUCCCUCGGGAUGUAAACUACUGUCAGGGACUACCAAGCAAUUGGGGCUAAUAUCUCCAUGCGUUGAGGAAUCCCAGAGGAAGCCACGGCUAACUUCGUGCCAGCAGCCGCGGUAAGGCGAAGGUGGCGAGCGUUGUUCGGAAUCACUGGGCUUAAAGAGCACGUAGGUGGAUUGUCAAGCGUAAUGUGAAAGCCCUCGGCUUAACCGGGGAACUGCAUUGCGAACUGGCAGUCUUGAGGCAGGUAGGGGCAACUGGAACUCUUGGUGGAGCGGUGGAAUGCGUAGAUAUCAAGAGGAACGCCAGAGGCGAAGGCGAGUUGCUGGGCCUGUCCUGACACUGAGGUGCGAAAGCGUGGGUAGCGAACGGGAUUAGAUACUCCGGCAGUCCACGCCCUAAACGAU
rnacentral:rRNA from 1 species